AGUGAACGCUGGCGGUAGGCCUAACACAUGCAAGUCGAACGGCAGCACAGUAAGAGCUUGCUCUUACGGGUGGCGAGUGGCGGACGGGUGAGGAAUACAUCGGAAUCUACUUUUUCGUGGGGGAUAACGUAGGGAAACUUACGCUAAUACCGCAUACGACCUACGGGUGAAAGCAGGGGAUCUUCGGACCUUGCGCGAUUGAAUUAGCCGAUGUCGGAUUAGCCAGUUGGCGGGGUAAAGGCCCACCAAGGCGACGAUCCGUAGCUGGUCUGAGAGGAUGAUCAGCCACACUGGAACUGAGACACGGUCCAGACUCCUACGGGAGGCAGCAGUGGGGAAUAUUGGACAAUGGGCGCAAGCCUGAUCCAGCCAUACCGCGUGGGUGAAGAAGGCCUUCGGGUUGUAAAGCCCUUUUGUUGGGAAAGAAAAGCAGCAGGUUAAUACCCCGCUGUUCUGACGGUACCCAAAGAAUAAGCACCGGCUAACUUCGUG
rnacentral:rRNA from 1 species